rnacentral:rRNA from 1 species
AUUGAACGCUGGCGGCAGGCCUAACACAUGCAAGUCGAACGAGUGGCGGACGGGCGAGUAAUGUCUGGGAAACUGCCUGAUGGAGGGGGAUAACUACUGUAAACGGUAGCUAAUACCGCAUACCAUCGGAUGUGCCCAGAUGGGAUUAGCUAGUCGGUGGGGUAAAGGCUCACCUAGGCGACGAUCCCUAGCUGGUCUGAGAGGAUGACCAGCCACACUGGAACUGAGACACGGUCCAGACUCCUACGGGAGGCAGCAGUAGGGAAUAUUGGACAAUGGGCGCAAGCCUGAUGCAGCCAUGCCGCGUGUAUGAAGAAGGCCUUCGGAUUGUAAAGUACUUUCAGCGGGGAGGCGUUACCCGCAGAAAAAGCACCGGCUAACUCCGUGCCAGCAGCCGCGGUAAUUC